rnacentral:lncRNA from 10 species
GAUAAGGGGAUGCAACUGUUCAGGUCUGAUUUCCUGUUGUUUCUCAGAUACUGAUAGGGCAUCAUUCACAUACAUGACAAAUAAGACUUCUGAACUGUUUGCCAUUUGGGAAGGGGAGGCUCGCGGGUUGUUCCCUGGCGAAAUGAUUUGUGAAACAUCAGUCCGAAAUUAUUCGGGGGUUCUUCGCCCUCCACUUUCCCAUAGCGCGUUUUCCUUUCUCCCACAGAGAUAUAAUAGAAACUAAUCUUCAAAAUCCAAACAUUCCAAGCCCCAUCCUUUUGUGCAGGCAUCUCGCUGUCUGCGCUGGGCACGGAGCGGCGCGCGCGCGCCCGUCUUUCCCUCGGCGGCCCCCGCGGCUCGGACCCGGGCCGGCAGACAGGCCAUCCAUCAUCCGCCCUCCUCCCGCGGAGCGCCGCAGCCGCCGCGGCCAAUCCGGCGGCAGGUGGGGCCGCACCUGCGCGACAGCCCGCCGCUUCCCUCCGCUCCCUUCGCCGCGCCUCGCGUGCUAGCGGUGCCCUUGUGAGCCACUGCGUUCUCCAAGGCCAGAACGGGACAGAUGGAGAAAUUGAGAUGAGAGCUCAUCCACAAGAUUACCCAUCAAUGAGCACCAAUAGCAACCAAAUCCACUAGAAGACUGGGAGCUUUUAAGUCAAGAAACUUACAUCAGUAUCAUCAUUCCAAGAAGCGGUAUCCAAGCUGUUUUAUCGAAAGUGCGCAUGGGAGAUAAGACUCUGAGAAUUUAUAGAAACAAACAUUAGAAGGCAGGAAUGUGGAGAGAAGAAAGCUACCUGACAAGGGAAUCUCAGGAUACAAGGAAAACACCAAGAAGACACCUGCCUGAGGGUCUUAUAGCUAAUGGACUGCAGAAGACUUGAGUCAUCAUUCAAAUUCAGUAGCCAUCCUCUGAUGUCCAGUUGAAGAUUGGUGAUUCCAGAAUAGCUCGCAUUGCCCCAGUUGACUUGCCACACAGCUUCUUUCAGGACUUGAAAAUGUCCUAGCCACCCCCAUCUUACCUCCUACUUCCAAUGCCUUUUAAGAUAGAAAACAAAAAACAAAACAACAAAAAAACACCAGCCACCCUUGUGGGUUAGAUAAUCCUACAUCAAGGUGAAUUCUUGAUAACCAGUUCUGUUCUUCCUUAUGUCUUGUAAACAUGCUAAUUAGAAGGAGCUUGUGUUUGAAGAUCAAGGGAGGAAGAAUUCUGAAGCCAGGGCUAGCCUUAGGGGACAUAACUCCUUCCAGUCACUUCCUGAAUUUUUUGGUACCUGGCUUUUGAGAGUCCUCCAAAGUGAGAAUUUCAUGACAUGUAACCUCUCAACACCUGCAUUUUAAAAAAUUGUCCAAAAUACCGCAGAUACCACAGAAAAGUCCAAAACUUAAGUUUUUCCCUCCACUCAGAGCAUCUUAGCAACAUACUAACCAUAAGACUCUAAGCGCUCUUACCCUCAAUGCAAUUCUCACUGAAUAUCCUGUCAGGAGAACUCUACCUCUCUUCCAUGUUAUUAAGGUUAUUGUUCUUUGCAAGGUGUACACAACACAAAUAUAUUUCUUGGUGAAUGAACUCACUCUCAAAGACUGCUGUCCUUGGGGAUAUAGCCAACAUGCCAUAUCCACAACAUAGGUCUUCUUUACAGUCCUGUUGAAACAUGUAAGAUCAGCUACUAAGUCCCUGCAUCUCAGACAGGAACUUAAUAGAGUACAUUUAAAAAAAAAAUUCAGAAGUAAUUAAAACAAAUUGCAUACAAGCCACCUGUUUAGAAAGUUCAUAAAUUUUAUGCAAUUAUUUAUCUCUUUAUUUUUUCUGAAAUCAAGAGCAGAAUGUAUCCAAGUGAAACUAAAAGAGCGAGGUCAAGGGGAAACAACACAGGGCUUGUGGAGUCAUAAAUAUGUAUUAAAGCAGCAGAGUUAAUUUUGUCCCAAGUUCCAUAUUGGCCAGGAAAAAAGAAACAAGAUCAGCAGAGUUAACAGCUCUCAACCUGAAUAUGCCUCAGAAUUUCUAGGAGGACUUAAGUAAUGAGAUUCCUGGGUUUCUACAUGGACCAACUCAAUCAAACUCUUCAGGAGACAGCUGCUGUUGUUAGACUGUGUCUCCCAAAAUUCUUGUGUUGGAAACUUAGUUCCCAAUGUAAUGAUACUGGCAGGUGUGGCCUAGUGGGGGGUGUUUAGAUCAUGAGGGCUUCAGCCUCAUGAAUGGAUUAAUGUUGAUAUCUCAGGAGUGAGUUUCCUCUUGCUCUCUGUAGCCCUCUCUCUUGCCACAUGAUGACUUCCACCAGGUUAUGACUCAACAGGAAGGCCCUCACAAGAUGUGGAACCUCAAUCUUAGACUUCUCAGCCUCCAGAAGUGAGCCAAAUAAAUUUCUGUUCAUUAUACAUUACUUAGUCUGGAUUAUUCUGUUAUAAGGGCACAAAACAGACUAGUACACAAUAUGUGUGUGCUUUUUACAUCAGAUGAAUCUCAUGGUCAGUUAAGUCUGGAAAUCACUUGUCUAAAUGAGUUGCGUUUGGUUUUUCCUAAGAAAUAUGCUGUCAGUUCCUCAAGAGAAGCAAAAUAUACCAGCCCUUAUAUUUCCUUUAAGAAGACUCACCUAAUUUAGGUCAUAUAUCUCAAAGUGUUAUGGGGCAAGAUAUAUUCAACACUGUAUUCAGU